CCUACGGGAGGCAGCAGUGAGGAAUAUUGGUCAAUGGGCGCAAGCCUGAACCAGCCAAGUCGCGUGAAGGAUGAAGGCCCUAUGGUUUGUAAACUUCUUUUAUAUGGGAAUAAAGUGCAGUAUGUAUACUGCUUUGCAUGUACCUUAUGAAUAAGGAUCGGCUAACUCCGUGCCAGCAGCCGCGGUAAUACGGAGGAUCCGAGCGUUAUCCGGAUUUAUUGGGUUUAAAGGGAGCGUAGGCGGGUUGUUAAGUCAGUGGGGAAAGUCUGCGGCUCAACCGUAGAAUUGCAGUUGAUACUGGGAGGCUUGAGUAAGGUAGAGGCAGGCGGAAUGCGUGGUGUAGCAGUGAAAUGCAUAGAUAUCACGAAGAACGCCGAUGGCGAAGGCAGCCUGCUGGACCGUAACUGACGCUGAUGCACGAAAGCGUGGGGAUCAAACAGGAUUAGAUACCCUUGUAGUC
rnacentral:rRNA from 1 species